rnacentral:piRNA from 1 species
UGGUGGAGUAGCAGACAUACCCAUCCCAUC